UCAGUCCGCACUCCUUUGUUCCACCCCUCGACCCCAGCUGCAUCUGGCGACGCCGCCACCUCGCCGCCAGCCCGCGUCAUCCGCUGCCCCCCGCCGGCACGCGCUCUCCCCGUCCGCCUCCGGCCUCCAUCAUCUCUGCACCGGUGACCUCCCCUUGCCUCCUCCUCCUUCCCUUUCUCUUCCACCUAGAUUGAGAAGGGAAGCCAUGGCGCUCCCGCGGCAGCUGGAUCCAGACCAAGCCCGUGGGGUUCCAGCGCGACCUCCUCGCAGCGACCAUGGAGGCGGGAUCCGCGGAUCCACGGCCACGGUGGAGGGAUGUGGGUCAGGCAUCUGCAUGUGCUGCUGAAAUCGAUUGAUGGUUCUUGAUUGCUGAGUAAUUCCUGUUAGUUGUUAUAUGUGCUGCUGAAUUCUCCAGUAGGGACUUGAUUCAUGUUGGUUGCUGACUUCAUUGUUGAUUGUUGAUUGUCGAGAGAAAAUCCAAGUGAGCGGUUGCAUGCUGGCGCUGGCGAUGCGUCAUCUCCCGCCCAUGCAGCCUCCCCACUAUGCCUCCACACCCAGAUUCGAGUCCUCUCGGUCUCCAUCCCCCGUCUAUGGUCGGCAACAACAAUCACAAUGAUAGCGAAGUGGUGCGACCAGGGGAUGGCAUACAUACGUUGUUGCCGUCGGCUGGCCUCUGCUCGCAUUCAGGAAUGGUGCGUGUUUGCUUUACUGUAGGUGCUUUGGCGCUCUGUAUUUGCUUGUUGUAGAUGCUCUGCUUCCUCUGUUUGCUGCUUUGUCGUGUAGCAAUCAGGUGGUUUGUAGCUGCUGAUGUAAUCCAAGAUGAAGCAGGCACACAUGUGGACGCUGCUUCUCGCUUGUCUAGCUGCAACUGAUCGCUGGACAAUCACUUAGGGCAGUAUCAUUGCCAUAUAAUUAUUGCAGAGUUGUGUAAGUUUGAUUCAUGAAUGAUAGGACCAAGGAAGGAUAAAUGAAAUGCUUUGCAGUUCAAAAGAGAGUUAACAAUGAUUUAACGACGUUGGAUGGCUGAAUGUGCUCCUAAAGAAGAGGUCGGCUGCUAACAGGUUCCAGGUGGCCGGGAUUGAGGAAAUUAUAUCAGGAAACGAUUUUACAAGGAUGCAUCCCUUUUUACAUGGGGAAGCAGAUAACAAUAACGAACCAAGCAAGAUGACUAUGGUGCGUGACCUCAAGCUGUGAUAGGACAGAAACUGGAUCUUCUGUGCCCGUUGAAGAUGAGAUGGAUGAAGUUACUGAUGAAGCAAUUGGUGCAAAGCUCAAUAUUUUAUAUACACAGAAAAGGGCAAUUUCUUCAGAACUUGCCACUGCUCAUGCAUGUGAAAAGAACAUAGCUGAUAAAAACAAGUCUCUUAAGCACAAGGUAAGGAAGUCAUUCUCGGAGAAGCAGAGAUUGUUGUAACAACGCUUAGUGGGUGUGGAGGUGAUAUUUAUGGAGUUUGCUCGGAAACUGCUUCAACUAAGAACAACUAAGAAAUAUGGAAAUUUCUCUGAGCAAGCUUUGUUUGAUGUUUUUGUUAUUGAUUUAAGCUGCACAGGUGGGGUCUCGGACUCUCAAUACAAACUAUCCUCUUUCAAAUCAAGCUAGCUUUAUAUUUAAUAUUUAUUAUAUGCUAAACACUAAGCUUCUUUUGGUUUACUCAUAUUUAGGCUCUUGAGCAUGCAACUUUGAUUCCGCUUUAGCUACUCAAGUCAAAAGGAACUAAGUGCAUAAUGGUUGGUGACCCGAAGCAGCUACCUGCUAUCUCUUACUUAGUAAUGUUACUUCUUAAAGUGCAUGUCAAACCAUGUUGUAAUUCUUGGAUUUUAGUUUUCGGUGUGCCAUAUCUUUUUUACAUUUAUGUCCUAAAAAUGUUCUGAUUCCAAUGAUGAGAAACCUUAUGCAAUUUUAUGUGAAAACAAUAGCAACCUCAUUAACAUGAUUACAAGUAACAAGUUGCGCAUACAUAGUUCCCGUGUGUUGUUUGAGUAUGCCAUUCUUAAUGGAUUACUAAAUUUGUAUGUGAGAACUAAGAAGAGCUAUCAACUGCAGGCCAUAUGCUAAUUUCUCAAUUAUUUUGUAUUGUCUGCAGUACCGAAUGCAUCCUUACAUUAGCAGAUUCCCAUCGUUGCAUUUCUAUGAAAACAAACUGCUGGAUGGUGCUCAGAAGGCUGAGAAAUCAGAUCCUUUCCAUGAUCACCGUUGUCUUGGUCCAUACAUGUUCUUUGAUAUUGCCGAUGGUCAUGAGCAUGCUGGAACAAGUGCUGCUGCACAAUCACUCUCUAAUCAAUUUGAAGCUGGUGCAGCACUUGAAAUACUGUCAUUUUUAAAGAACAAGUAAGAGUAUUGUCUUUGCUUGCACAGUUUCACUUCCUACUGGAGGGGGUCUUAUUUUGCAGGUAACUGAGGAUACUUGCUUUGUGAAUAGAUAUCCAACAGAUUUCUCCUGUAGAAAGAUAGGGAUCAUAACUUAUGGCUAUGUUGUGGAAGAGUUCUUGCGGGUAGCAUCUUUCCAUUGUCUGUAAAUUGAUGUAUAAAGCGGGCAUUCCAUUCUUUAUAAAUUGAUAGAUAAAAUGGAUGCAGGUGUGAGCUUGAGAAAGAAGGAGACGGCAAGUGAAAGACUGAGAAGACCAGGGAUUCUUCUUUGCCAGCCGUAAGGUGGAGGCGUUGCUUAGGGAACAUGUGCGUACAUCCUUGCUCCUUUUAUUCUUCCAGUUUUAGGUACUUUCCAGCAGGCUUGUACGGAGUACCUAUCUUGCUAUGUACUGAAUUAUUUGCAACUAUGUAGCAAACUGUAUUAGGAGAUCCAGAUAUAUAAUGCGUCUGUGUAUGAAUUAAUUAUUACCAUCACCUAGCUAGCUUGUUACCUGAAAGAUCGAGGUGAACUUUUAUUGUAUGGAUGUUGUGUCGCUGGAAUUCUGUGAUGUUUCAGGAACACAUUGUUUUUCA